rnacentral:misc_RNA from 1 species
AAGAAUGAACGUAGAGCAUGGUUGUAGCUGGCCUGCAAGGGCAUGUGCACACCUGCUCUUUCAUCCACACACCCCUGUGCAUCUGUGAGACGGUGGUCCUGUUGGACUCUCUUUUGUUAGGGAGCUAGGUCCCCCCGUCUGCUACCACAUACACUCUUAUACUUAACCUGAAUGUCAUCGAUGUAAACACAUCUUUAUAC